AAGUCGUAGCAAGGUUUCCGUAGGUGAACCUGCGGAAGGAUCAUUAACACGUAUCCAAACGUUAAAACCCCCCCGUAAAAGUCGUAACAAGGUUUCCGUAGGUGAACCUGCGGAAGGAUCAUUAUAGUAUAUGGAAUCUCCAUUCUAUAAACCCACUCUGCGUAUCUUGUAACUGUUGCUUCCAUGGGACUUGGUUCCGCCACACCGGCUUCACGGCUGGUGAGCGCCCAUGGAAGGAGAAACAAAACUCUUCUUUGAAAUGUAGUCAGUCUGAACAAGUUUUUAUAAACGUUAAAACUUUCAACAACGGAUCUCUUGGUUCUC
rnacentral:misc_RNA from 1 species